GACGAACGCUGGCGGCGUGCCUAACACAUGCAAGUCGAACGGAGUUAAGACUUCGGUUUUAACUUAGUGGCGAACGGGUGAGUAACGCGUGAGGAACCUGCCUUUCAGUGGGGGACAACAGUUGGAAACGACUGCUAAUACCGCAUAACAUGUACGGAUCGCAUGGUCUGAAUAUCAAAGGAGCAAUCCGCUGAAAGAUGGCCUGCACCUGAUUAGAUAGUUGGUGAGGUAACGGCUCACCAAGUCGACGAUCAGUAGCCGGACUGAGAGGUUGAACGGCCACAUUGGGACUGAGACACGGCCCAGACUCCUACGGGAGGCAGCAGUGGGGAUAUUGCGCAAUGGGGGAAACCCUGACGCAGCGAUGCCGCGUGGAGGAAGAAGGUCUUCGGAUCGGUAAACUUUUGUCUUCAGGGACGAUAAUGACGGUACCUGAGGAGGAAGCCAACGGCUAACUACGUG
rnacentral:rRNA from 1 species